rnacentral:rRNA from 1 species
UACGUAGGGUGCAAGCGUUAUUCGGAAUUACUGGGCGUAAAGGGCGCGUAGGCGGUUCGUUAAGUCUGUCGUGAAAUCCCCGGGCUCAACCUGGGAAUGGCGAUGGAUACUGGCGAGCUAGAGUGUGUCAGAGGAUGGUGGAAUUCCCGGUGUAGCGGUGAAAUGCGUAGAGAUCGGGAGGAACAUCAGUGGCGAAGGCGGCCAUCUGGGACAACACUGACGCUGAAGCACGAAGGCGUGGGGAGCAAACAGG